CUUUUGCUGGCGACCGGCGCACGGGUGAGUAACACGUAUCCAACCUGCCGAUAACUCGGGGAUAGCCUUUCGAAAGAAAGAUUAAUACCCGAUGGUAUAAUCAGACCGCAUGGUCUUGUUAUUAAAGAAUUUCGGUUAUCGAUGGGGAUGCGUUCCAUUAGGCAGUUGGUGAGGUAACGGCUCACCAAACCUUCGAUGGAUAGGGGUUCUGAGAGGAAGGUCCCCCACAUUGGAACUGAGACACGGUCCAA
rnacentral:rRNA from 1 species